rnacentral:rRNA from 1 species
AUUGAACGCUGGCGGCAGGCCUAACACAUGCAAGUCGAGCGGAUGAAGGGAGCUUGCUCCUGGAUUCAGCGGCGGACGGGUGAGUAAUGCCUAGGAAUCUGCCUGGUAGUGGGGGGCAACGUUUCGAAAGGAACGCUAAUACCGCAUACGUCCUACGGGAGAAAGCAGGGGACCUUCGGGCCUUGCGCUAUCAGAUGAGCCUAGGUCGGAUUAGCUAGUUGGUGGGGUAAAGGCUAACCAAGGCGACGAUCCGUAACUGGUCUGAGAGGAUGAUCAGGCACACUGGAACUGAGACACGGUCCAGACUCCGACGGGAGGAAGCAGUGGGGAAUAUUGGACAAUGGGCGAAAGCCUGAUCCAGCCAUGCCGCGUGUGUGAAGAAGGUCUUCGGAUUGUAAAGCACUUUAAGUUGGGAGGAAGGGUUGUAGAUUAAUACUCUGCAAUUUUGACGUUACCGACAGAAUAAGCACCGGCUAACUCUGUGCCAGCAGCCGCCGUAA